AAAAAAAAAAAAAUACUACCACCAUUCGUUUAUCCUUCUCUAAAACCCUCACACUCUCUCUUUCUCUCUCCCUCUCUAACGUAUUUUCUCUCUCUAAAGCCUCUCUCUGUGAAAGUUCUCAGUUUGUUCACUCUCUGUUUAUUGGUUAAGCAAAGCAAAGCAAAAAUGGCGUCCGAAGGAGGUAACCUGAAGUCGACCUCCAUAAACGUUAUGAAGGUGUAUAGUUUUGGCAUCACAGAACCGCUCUUGGCUUGACCCUAAGAAGCUUCGAGCUCUUCGCAAAGGCAAAAAUUACUCGCAAAGGGUGGACUUGAUUCAGGAUCUGAGGUUUGAAACUGCAACCACUAAGAUUAAGGCAACUCCUGAUGGGGAGUUUCUUAUAGUGUCAGGUAUAUAUCCACCACAGGUCAAAGUGUAUGAGCUGAGCCAAUUAUCACUAAAGUUUGAGAGGCACUUGGAUUUAGAGAUAAUUGAUUUUCAGGUACUUUACAUGCUUGCUAAAGACUAUAAUUUACCUAGAGAUUCUGUUUUGUGAGGCAUUGCCAAAUAUACUCAUUCCAAAAAAUGCAAUGAUAUUCGGAAUCUUUAAUGAUGGUUCGUUUCUAGUGGUGUAGAUGAGGCAAGAUCUUGUGCCCACAUGCAUGGUCCUUGAUAUGUAGAGUGCAAUCUUUUUUCCAAUGUUAUUAUAUUUCCCUUUUGAAAUUCCUAAAUAGUUUUAGUUCAUGCUUUUUAUACAUUGUGAUGGUGUUGACUUCAAGCAGGCCG